UGGGGAAUAUUGCACAAUGGGGGAAACCCUGAUGCAGCGACGCCGCGUGAACGAAGAAGGUAUUCGUAUCGUAAAGUUCUGUCCUAUGGGAAGAUAAUGACAGUACCAUAGAAGAAAGCUCCGGCUAAAUACGUGCCAGCAGCCGCGGUAAUACGUAUGGAGCGAGCGUUGUCCGGAAUUAUUGGGCGUAAAGGGUACGCAGGCGGUUUAAUAAGUCGAAUGUUAAAGAUCGGGGCUCAACCCCGCAAAGCAUUGGAAACUGAUAAACUUGAGUAGUGGAGAGGAAAGUGGAAUUCCUAGUGUAGUGGUGAAAUACGUAGAUAUUAGGAGAAAUACCAGUAGCGAAGGCGACUGUCUGGACACAAACUGACGCUGAGGUACGAAAGCGUGGGGAGCAAACAGG
rnacentral:rRNA from 1 species